UGGGGAAUUUUGGACAAUGGGGGAAACCCUGAUCCAGCCAUCCCGCGUGUGCGAUGAAGGCCUUCGGGUUGUAAAGCACUUUUGGCAGGUAAGAAACGUCAUGGGUUAAUACCCCGUGAAACUGACGGUACCUGCAGAAUAAGCACCGGCUAACUACGUGCCAGCAGCCGCGGUAAUACGUAGGGUGCAAGCGUUAAUCGGAAUUACUUGGCGUAAAGCGUUCGCAGGCGGUUCGGAAAGAAAGAUGUGAAAUCCCAGAGCUCAACUUUGGAACUGCAUUUGUAACUACCGGGCUAGAGUGUGUCAGAGGGAGGUGGAAUUCCGCGUGUAGCAGUGAAAUGCGUAGAUAUGCGGAGGAACACCGAUGGCGAAGGCAGCCUCCUGGGAUAACACUGACGCUAAUGCACGAAAGCGUGGGGAGCAAACAGG
rnacentral:rRNA from 1 species